CUUUUCCCUUUGUGCUGUUGAUAUUUGGCUGUUUUGUGGUGAGCUGUGUGACUCCAAGAGUGUUUUCCUGGGAAGAAGGUGGAAGCAAGGCUGUGAGCCAGGUGGUCCUUCUCAGAUACGGCUUUGUGGCUGGGGGUGCCAGGAGGCGGUGUUCCCAAAAACCUCUCUUUUUCAGUAUGAAUUUACACCGAAUAACCCAAAAGCCACUUAAUGAGGAACAGUGACAUCUUCAAAGUGCUUCCAGGAAGCUCCUCUAGGGGAAACUUGGCUUGGUUCCCUGAGCCUGUGGUGAUCUGGAUGCUUUUUGGUAUAAUCCUGAUGUGGAUGGUCAUCUGUCAUGUGUGUGUUUUGCUGGUGAUGGAGCUGAGCUGCAGUGAGGCAACAGGACAUGCCAAAGAUUGAAUGAGAGGUCAGUGGCAGCAGUGGCCCCAGCUCUUGGUCUCUGGAUUUUGUCAUGGAGGUUCUUCUGACAUGACGAAGAGUUUGACAUUAGAGGAUGUCAUGUCUCCAUUUACUGUGUCCAUCAGUGGCCAACGUGAAGAGUUCCAAAGGCAGAACUGAACCAAGAGGUCAUGGUGAAAGCAGUUCGCUUAGUUGGAUGGAUGAGAAGGCUCUGCCACAAUUCUGUACAAGAGCUUCCAUCAGAAAUUGAUGUUGUCUGACCAGAAGUAUCCUAGGGACUGGGACUCUGCUUCCACUUGAAUGUUACCUGUGUGCAUCCAAAUCAAGUCUCCUCUGAGGAAGGAGAAAAGUGGCAGUCAACUGAAGGAGAAAACACAGUGAUAAGAAAAAAGCAGCUUUGUGUUGGGACCUCUGCUAUCCAGAGCUGGUUCCCAUGCAAACAUUAUAAUUACCUUCUUGCUUCCUCUGAGCCCAAGGGUACCUGGGGGAGAACACAGUGAAGACAGUGGGAUCCUGAGGAAGUGCAGCAGCAUCCCUUGGGCUCUAAUUCAUGCACUGAAAUGCACA